ACCUACGGGGCGCAGCAGUGGGGAAUAUUGCGCAAUGGGGGAAACCCUGACGCAGCGACGCCGCGUGAGCGAUGAAGGCCUUAGGGUUGUAAAGCUCUGUUUUAAGGGACGAAUGUUUACCUGAGUAAUAUGCAGGUAAAAUGACGGUACCUUAAGAGGAAGCCCCGGCUAACUACGUGCCAGCAGCCGCGGUAAGACGUAGGGGGCGAGCGUUGUCCGGAAUUACUGGGCGUAAAGAGCACGUAGGCGGGACUUUAAGUCAGAUGUGAAAGACCGGGGCUCAACUCCGGGGUUGCAUUUGAAACUGGAGUUCUUGAGGGCAGGAGAGGAAAGCAGAAUUCCUGGUGUAGCGGUGAAAUGCGUAGAAAUCAGGAGGAAUACCAGUGGCGAAGGCGGCUUUCUGGACUGACCCUGACGCUGAGGUGCGAAAGCGUGGGUAGCAAACAGGAUUAGAUACCCCGGU
rnacentral:rRNA from 1 species